rnacentral:rRNA from 1 species
UACGAGCGGCCCAAACGUUAUUCGGAAUUACUGGGCUUAAAGAGUUCGUAGGCGGCAUUACAAGUAGGGUGUGAAAGCCCUCGGCUCAACCGAGGAAUUGCGCUCUAAACUGUCGUGCUAGAGGAACCUAGAGGUGAGCAGAACAGAUGGUGGAGCGGUGAAAUGCGUUGAUAUCAUCUGGAAUACCGGAGGCGAAGGCGGCUCACUGGGGGUUUUCUGACGCUGAGGAACGAAAGCGUGGGGAGCGAACAGG